AAGGUGAUAUGAACCGUUAUAACCGGCGAUGUCCGAAUGGGGAAACCCAGUGCAAUUCGUUGCACUAUCGUUAACUGAAUACAUAGGUUAACGAGGCGAACCGGGGGAACUGAAACAUCUAAGUACCCCGAGGAAAAGAAAUCAACCGAGAUUCCCCCAGUAGCGGCGAGCGAACGGGGAGCAGCCCAGAGUCUGAAUCAGCUUGUGUGUUAGUGGAACGGUCUGGAAAGUCCGACGGUACAGGGUGAUAGUCCCCGUACACCAAAAUGCACAGGCUGUGAACUCGAAGAGUAGGGCGGGACACGUGGUAUCCUGUCUGAAUAUGGGGGACCAUCCUCCAAGGCUAAAUACUCCUGACUGACCGAUAGUGAACCAGUACCGUGAGGGAAAGGCGAAAAAGACCCCGGCGAGGGGAGUGAAAAA
rnacentral:rRNA from 1 species